GAAAGAGGAGGCAAGCGUUAUCCGGAAUUAUUGGGCGUAAAGCGUCCGUAGGUGGUUUGACAAGUCUGGGGUUAAAGCCCGGAGCCCAACUCCGGAUCGGCCCUGGAAACUGUCAGACUUGAGUAAGGUAGGGGUUGCGGGAAUUCCCGGUGUAGCGGUGAAAUGCGUAGAUAUCGGGAAGAACACCAGCGGCGAAAGCGCGCAACUGGGCCAUUACUGACUCUGAGGGACGAAAGCUAGGGGAGCGUAUGGG
rnacentral:rRNA from 1 species